rnacentral:lncRNA from 1 species
AUGCCUGCUGUGAAAGAAAUCUAUUUAUAUGUAGUACACAAAAAAAUUCAAGCACACAUAAAAAUCCCACGUUUGAAAAAAUGUCCUUGUUCUGUCAAGGUUAGUGCUCUGCACAGGAUGUACAGAAGGAUGAACUCUUUUCUCUGCAGUCAACCUUAUUGUAAAACAAAGUUCACAAAAAAAGAGAAAGAGAGUUCCUUGACGCUCUUCCAAAAACUUUCACCUCACCAAGGGGAAUCUCAGAAAGUAACACAAGUGAACAUCUCUGUGGGUCGGGACAACAUAGAGAGUGUCAGCUCUCUAUGCCAACAAAGAGUCAAGGAGAGAUCAGACUUCAGAUAUGACAUUUGGAAGAAAGAUAUAUCAAAAACCUCCAAGAAAACCACACGCAGCUUUGACAGUUGCUUUUUUAUUUCCUCCCCAAGAAAUCUCAUGCAUGCACAUGGAGCUAAGUGGAAUACACCUAACUAUAUGCAUAGGCUUUUGCUGUCACAGUUCAUGAACAAUGGAUGAGCUGUGACUCACAGGCCACUUUUUUCUCACCCUUUCAAGUUGGAGGAGAAAUCAGAAAGACAAACAGAAGCUACAGAGUCAUGGCUCCGCUCCCUCCCACCAGAUGCUGGCUGUUGUAACAGAACAACAAAUGGAAGAAGAGCUGCCUGUAUGGCUCUAUCAAGUAAUUUUGGUUUGUUCAUACCACUGAACCAUGAGAAGAAAAAUGUUCCGGGUCAGAACAGAUCAUCAGUGAAGCUUUGAUGUAGUGCUACCCUAUGGGCCUGUACCUGGUUUAUUUCUUGGUUGUCUCAGUGAUGCCUUGAGAAGGCUGACCUAGAACAGAGGCUAGAUAGAGUUAAAAAUCAAGUCAGUAUUUAUUGAAAGGCCUUAAAGUUUACACCUUGGGCAGUACAAGAGCCUGGCCAGGGCUACACCCAAGAUGGACCUAAAAAAGUUCACAAAAUGGACGACCAGUCACAGGGUCUCACAUUUUAUAAGUUUUGGUCCAUCUGCAUGUUAUCAGACUUAAUUGUGCAAUUACGGCUUCAGGUUACGAAGUCCCAUCCUUCUUGUUUUCUCUCUUCAGUCCAUCGUUGUUUAUGCUUUGGGCCUGAAAAUUGUAAUGAUUUUCCUUGGUAUCAAGCUAGAAGAGAAAUUGUUUUGUCUGUCUAUUCUGUGAAGGGAGCUCACUAACACUUAAUAUGAACCUCAAAACUACACACCUAGGUAGCACAGAGAGUGAAGAAUAUGAAACCUAAAACUUAAGUUAUCAUCAGUAUCUCAUUCUUUUGGCUGCUGGUGCACAUCAUUUCACAUAUUACUGCAGGUUUUCAUCAUGUGGUAGCUGCUCAUCCUUCCCCCUAGCUCUGGUGGACCAAUGCAAGAAGACACAUCAAAACUCCAGUCCCAGGGGGAAGCUGUGAAGACUUGCUCCUCUUAUAUCUGUAAUUACUGCAGCACUUGGUGGUGUGUGGCAGUACUAUUUCUCUCCUAAUUUGAGAACCCCCUUUUAUUUUUU